GUGGGGAAUAUUGGGCAAUGGGCGAAAGCCUGACCCAGCAACGCCGCGUGAAGGAAGAAGGUCUUCGGAUCGUAAACUUCUAUCCUUGGUGAAGAUAAUGACGGUAGCCGAGAAGGAAGCCCCGGCUAACUACGUGCCAGCAGCCGCGGUAAUACGUAGGGGGCAAGCGUUGUCCGGAAUGAUUGGGCGUAAAGGGCGCGUAGGCGGCCCGGUAAGUCUGAAGUGAAAGUCCUGCUUUUAAGGUGGGAAUUGCUUUGGAUACUGUCGGGCUUGAGUGCAGGAGAGGUAAGCGGAAUUCCCGGUGUAGCGGUGAAAUGCGUAGAGAUCGGGAGGAACACCAGUGGCGAAGGCGGCUUACUGGACUGUAACUGACGCUGAGGCGCGAAAGUGUGGGGAGCAAACAGGAUUAGAAACCCCAGUAGUCC
rnacentral:rRNA from 1 species